rnacentral:rRNA from 1 species
AUACGGAGGGGGCAAGCGUUGUUCGGAAUUACUGGGCGUAAAGAGUACGUAGGCGGAUCGUUAAGUUAGAGGUGAAAUCCCAGGGCUCAACCCUGGAACUGCCUUUAAUACUGGCGAUCUAGAGAUCGAGAGAGGUGAGUGGAAUUUCCAGUGUAGAGGUGAAAUUCGUAGAUAUUGGAAAGAACACCAGUGGCGAAGGCGGCUCACUGGCUCGAUACAGACGCUGAGGUACGAAAGCGUGGGGAGCAAACAGAAUUAGAAACCCUAGUAGUCC